rnacentral:rRNA from 1 species
GGACAAUUGGAGGGCAAGUCUGGUGGACAUUCAGUUCCCAUUCUGCUGACGCCAGAGAUAGUCGGGCAGCUUCGUCAGAAGCUGUUACGCCGGCUAGUCGAGUACCUACUAAUUGAUGGGAGGGUACCGGCAAGACAACCUGGAUCGGGGAAGGCUAAGGCACCCAGUGCUAUGCUAAUCCCGAGCAGAGCUGCCACGGAGCGAUUCGUGGAUAGCCUGUGUAGAGCGCGGUAAGGUGUCGGCCAGCUCACGUAGUUGGCUUAAGGGACGUGCCAUUCCCACUCGAAAGAGUGGCUGCCAGCAGAAGCGCCCAUCACGCGAGCGCUGGCAGGUUCAAACAUGCUUGCAAAGCAAGCCGUUGAAAGUUAUAUUAAAAGGCCAGCAGCCGCGGUAAUUCCAGCUCCAAUAGCGUAUAUUAAAGUUGUUGCAGUUAAAAAGCUCGUAGUUGAAUCUUUGGCCUGGCUGGCGGGUCCGCCUCACCGCGUGCACUUGUCCGGCCGGGCCUUCUCUUCUGGAGAACCGCAUGCCCUUCACUGGGCGUGUUGGGGACCAGGACUUUUACUUUGAAAAAAUUAGAGUGUUCAAAGCAGGCCUUUGCUCGAAUACGUUAGCAUGGAAUAAUAGAAUAGGACGUGCGGUCCUAUUUUGUUGGUUUCUAGGACCGCCGUAAUGAUUAAUAGGGACAGUCGGGGGCAUCAGUAUUCAAUUGUCAGAGGUGAAAUUCUUGGAUUUAUUGAAGACUAACUACUGCGAAAGCAUUUGCCAAGGAUGUUUUCAUUAAUCAGUGAACGAAAGUUAGGGGAUCGAAGACGAUCAGAUACCGUCGUAGUCUUAACCAUAAACUAUGCCGACUAGGGAUCGGGCGGUGUUAUCGAUUUGACCCGCUCGGCACCUUGCGAGAAAUCAAAG